UGACAUUUGAAAAGGAUAAUGUUUUGAUUAUUUAGAAAAGAAAACCUGUGGCCUUAGGUACGGUACGAUCAAACGAAAACCAUUCUAAUCCUUCCAUAUGCGUCUGCAAAUUCCCCCUCGAUAGUGCAGUUCUUGGCAAUAUGUUGUAACACAAUUAGGAAAACAACGGAAAGUAUAACAAAAAAUUAUGACAUCGUUUUUAUAAGAAAAUUUUAUCAUUAGGAGUAAAAUGGCGCUAAUUCUGGCCAUUUGAACACUAGUUGCGUAAACGAAGUUAUAUUAUUGAAUGUUCAAGGAAAUGAAUCUUCAUCAUCGUCUGCCAUUUCCUUUGCGAGUUCAAGAUCUUGUUUUUCACGCUCUCUCUGCUCCU